rnacentral:lncRNA from 1 species
GGGGAAAGUAUGAAGUCAUCUUUCUCAUUGCUCUCCUCUUUAAGUCCAAGAGCAAAGUACUUCUAAAAGGCAGGCUUUGUGGUUCGCAUGGAAUGUAAAUAGCUCAAAUGGCCCCACUUCCAAGAAGCCUUCUUUAACCCUAAGGCUGAAUGAAACAGAAAAAUCAGUUGGAAGUGAUUUCCCCUCUGUGGUGUCUUCCAGUCCUGGAGAGAACACUGGGAGAUGACUGGAUGACAUGGCUCCCUGUCUGGCCUGUGUCUAUUGAUUUGGUGAACUGGCUUCUACAGGAACAUAGAGAAGAUGUGGCAGAGGUCAGAUGGCUCUGAAAAUGGAGGGGGAAAAAAGCUGCUAUGGUUUUCUUUGUCCAGGCCACUGUCAUAAGGAAGCCUGGAAGAGUGAAGAAAGGUCUGAUUGAUCACAAGGUCCUAUCAAAUGUCAAAGCUGGCCCUGGCUGACCUCCCAUCUAUUCAGAGCUGCUUUGAUUUAAUCUCCAAACUGGCUGCUUCUCCAGGCUGGAAGAAGAUUGAAAUUUCCAACAAGGCAAAGGUGAUGAAAAUGUCUUCAUGGAAUCUUUGGGUACUAAGGAAAAGAGAAAAUGGAGGAGGGCAAUUACCAAAACAAGAAAUCAUCUAAUAAAACAUGAUCCACAGAACAGGAAGCCUGAUUUCUCUUGUCAAGUCACUAAACAGGCAAGAGCCUUCUCAGAUAUGUCCUGAACACCUUCUCUUUGCCUGACAAGUUCAAGAAAUUAAGUCAAAUAAGUAUUUGAUGGAAAUCUACCUGGCUCCAAAGACUGGGCUUCUAACAAUCCUCUCCACAACGUUUGAAUACAAAAAAAGUAUCCUGCUAAAGGACAAAGCCCCUCCAUCUCUUCCCGCCAAGCUCUCUGCGUGCCUGGUGAGAGGUAUAGCACUUUUGCUUUCUUUUUCAAUUUGCUCUUUAAAUGAGUGACAAUAUCACCUAGUGAUUAAGGACCUGCCUGGAGCUGGGCUGAUGCUUGGAGUUGGGCUGAACCUGAGCCUGAAUUCGAGCUCUUCUUCUUCUUGCUGACUUUGACCCUAGGUGAGUUAAUUUUUCUAAGCUUCAGUUUCUUGGUCUAUAAAAAGGAGGAUGAUAAUUCUUUUCUCACUCAGUAUUGUUUUAAAGAUUAGUAAGAUAAUAUAUGCAACGCAUUUAGCACAGUGCCUUGCACAUGAUAAACCCUGAAUAAAUGGUAGCCAGUUUUAAAAUACAACAUAAUUUUAAGCGUUGGUAUUUCUUAUGACUCCAAUCUCAUCCCUCCUUUUCCAUUGUCACUACAUUUGCUCUGUGUCUCCCAUAUCGAAUCUGGAACUUGCAUUCAAAGCC